AUUGAACGCUGGCGGCAGGCCUAACACAUGCAAGUCGAGCGGGAACUUCGGUUCUAGCGGCGGACGGGUGAGUAAUGCGUAGGAAGCUACCCGACAGAGGGGGAUACCAGUUGGAAACGACUGUUAAUACCGCAUAAUGUCUACGGACCAAAGUGUGGGACCUUCUGGACACAUGCUGUCGGAUGCGCCUACGUGGGAUUAGCUAGUUGGUGAGGUAAUGGCUUACCAAGGCGACGAUCCCUAGCUGGUUUGAGAAGAUGAUCAGCCACACUGGAACUGAGACACGGUCCAGACUCCUACGGGAGGCAGCAGUGGGGAAUAUUGGACAAUGGGCGAAAGCCUGAUCCAGCCAUGCAGCGUGUGUGAAGAAGGCCUUCGGGUUGUAAAGCACUUCCAGUAGGGAGGAGGAGUUGAGUGUUAAUAGUACUCAGCUUUGACGUUACCUACAGAAGAAGCACCGGCUAACUCUGUGCCAGCAGCCGCCGCAGUAA
rnacentral:rRNA from 1 species